GUGAAGCGGCAACAGCUCAAAUUUGAAAUCUGGCCUCUUCGGGGUCCGAGUUGUAAUUUGUAGAGGGUGUUUCGGGCGCGAUGCCGGUCUAAGUUCCUUGGAACAGGACGUCGCAGAGGGUGAGAAUCCCGUACGCGACCGGCGAUCAAGCCUGUGUGAAGCCCCUUCGACGAGUCGAGUUGUUUGGGAAUGCAGCUCAAAAUGGGUGGUAAAUUUCAUCUAAAGCUAAAUAUUGGCCAGAGACCGAUAGCGGACAAGUAGAGUGAUCGAAAGAUGAAAAGCACUUUGGAAAGAGAGUCAAACAGUACGUGAAAUUGUUGAAAGGGAAGCGCUUGCAAUCAGACCGGUCCGGAGGCGAUCAGCCGCUGCUCGUUCAGCGGUGCACUCGCCUGCGAUCCGGCCAGCAUCGGUUUGGGCGGUGGGAUAAAAGUCCCGGGAAUGUAGCUUCUCUCGGGGAGUCUUAUAGCCCGGGUCGCAAUGCCGCCCGCCUGGACCGAGGACCGCGCUUCGGCUAGGAUGCUGGCGUAAUGGUUGCAAG
rnacentral:rRNA from 1 species